rnacentral:rRNA from 1 species
UAAGACGAACCGAGCAAGCGUUAUUCGGAAUCACUGGGCUUAAAGAGUCCGUAGGCGGCGCGUUAGGUGGGGUGUGAAAUCCCUCGGCCCAACCGAGGAAUGGCGCUCCAAACCGGCGUGCUUGAGGAAGGUAGAGGUGAGCGGAACUGAUGGUGGAGCGGUGAAAUGCGUUGAUAUCAUCAGGAACACCGGAGGCGAAGGCGGCUCACUGGGCCUUUUCUGACGCUGAGGGACGAAAGCCAGGGUAGCGAACGGGAUUAGAUACCCCGGUAGUCCUGGCUGUAAACGAUGAGCACUAGGUCGAGGAACCCCACAGUUCCUUGGCCGUAGCGAAAGUGUUAAGUGCUCCGCCUGGGGAGUAUGGUCGCAAGGCUG